rnacentral:rRNA from 1 species
AGAGAGAGACAUGCGCGCAUAUCAAUAAGCGGAGGAAAAGAAACUAACUAGGAUUCCCUUAGUAACGGCGAGUGAAGCGGGAAGAGCUCAAAUUUGGAAUCUUCAAGGUUUUACCUUGACGAAUUGUAGUUUAAAGAAGUGUUUUCUGUUGAAGUUUUGGUAAAAGUUCUUUGGAAUAGGACAUCAUAGAGGGUGAGAAUCCCGUAUUUGACCAUUAUUUCAGCUGUGUGAUACACUUUCAAAGAGUCGGAUUGUUUGGGAAUGCAGUCCAAAAUGGGUGGUAAAUUUCAUCUAAAGCUAAAUAUUGGCGAGAGACCGAUAACGAACAAGUACCGUGAGGGAAAGAUGAAAAGAACUUUGAAAAGAGAGUUAAACAGUACGUGAAAUUGUCAAAAGGGAAGCGUUUGACACCAGUGUUGUUUUCUCGAAAAUCAAUUAAAGAUGGCUUGAUGUUAGUGUUGUAUUGACUUUAUCAGCAUUACUGCUCUCGUUUUCUUGUCUUUGUGAAUGCACUUUUCGUUUAACAAGUCAACAUCAAUUUCUUUUGUUGUAAAAGGGUCAGUGGAAGGUGGCUUCAGCUUUCGGUAGAAAGUGUUUAUAGCCUUUUACCUCUGCAGUCGGAGAGAUUGAGGUCUGCAGCGUAGAUCCUUCGGGGUUAGAUACAUUUGUGCUAAGUUAUAGCCUUUUCAUAGACAACUUGUUGACUAUAUCAGUCAUGUAGCUUACUCGCUUAUGCUAUUUUACCUACGCUUAGGAUGUUGACAGCAGUAUAGACUGU